CACGUACUGUGCGAACGUUAUUCGGAAUCACUGGGCUUAAAGGGUGCGUAGGCGGCUUAUUAAGUAGGGUGUGAAAGCUCUCGGCUCAACCGAGGAACUGCGCUCUAAACUGAUAGGCUUGAGUAAGAUAGGGGUGUGUGGAACUUCCGGUGGAGCGGUGAAAUGUGUUGAUAUCGGAAGGAACACCAGUAGCGAAAGCGGCACACUGGGUCUUAACUGACGCUGAGGCACGAAAGCCAGGGGAGCGAACGGG
rnacentral:rRNA from 1 species